UCAUAAAUCUCCCCCAGUGCUCUUCAUCCUGUGCCGCCUUGUGCCAAAACUUGCUCACAAAAGAACACCUUGCCAAAGUUGAACAAUUCGCACAUUGUUUGCCCAUUAACUUAAUUUUCAUCAGAAUCCUCCACAACUUCCACUUUUGACUUUCCUGAAAAAAUAUCUCAAACAGUCGUCAAAACAAAAGAAUCUAAGUGAUGAAGAAAAGCUAACCAAUGUGUUCAAACAUUUGUCUCUGCCUUCCGGGAUUGUUCUUUCCAUCUCAGGUUUAGAACGAGUGUUUGUGUCGUCACUGCUCAGAGAACAAACACUGUCUCCUUCGUCCUCUUCCACUUCAAUGAAUUCACUAGUCCCUUCUGCUGCAACUUUCUCAGCCUUUUCUCGUGCCCCUGCAGCUGCCCUUUCACGUGCUUUGGCAAGACCUUUUUUGGCUCUUUGAACCGCUGCUCUUUCUGCACGCUCACGGACAUCAGAAGCCUUCCUAACAGCAGCUCUCUGAACUUUUGCAUGAGCUUCAACAGCUGCUCUUUCACGUGCUUUCCUUCUAGCCCACUUUACUGUUUCUCUUGCCAACACUCUUUCACGUGCUUCCCUUCUAGCCCAGUUUAGGGAUGUUUAUAUUACAUGAAGAUUCAUAAUAUAUAGUUCAGGAAUCUUUAUAUUUAUCUCUAAUAUAUUAUUUACAUUUAUAUAUAUCUUAAAAUAGGAAACUAAAUCUCUAUAUAAGAGAAUGCAUAUUGUAUCAUUGCAAUCAUGAGAGUCUAAUACAAUUCUUCCUCUAACACAUUAUAUGCUCGAGAUCUGUGAAUGGGAUCUUCUCAACGGAGGACCUACUAAGGAAGAAGGUGGGUGACCUGACCUGGGCGUUGUUUUGAAGAAUGCAAGAAUUGUUAAGAAGGGGACAAGUAAAGCGAAUGUAGCAAGCGGGAGUGUGGUCGAGACACUUGUUAUUCUGUCUUCCAAUAUUGUUCAGAUCAUUGCACAAGUGUGUUCUCUUCUUUCUCGUCCAUCAUUAACUUGUUUUUUCUUUGAGCUGCAUUUUUUUUUUUUUUGAGAAUCCAUGUGACAAAGAGCUUAUGGAUCUGUCUCAUAGGGAGUCUCGCUUCCAUUAAAUGUUACAACUGGCAAUAAUGAGGCUGAAAAUGUCAGAUCAGCCAUAGAUACUUUACCAUGUCGGCCUCCUUUAUGUGAAAUAAAUAGCUUCACAAAAUUCUACCUUGAAGGAAAUGUCUAUGAUCAUCUAGGGUAAACUGUGUGCUUUGCUUUAACUUCAUCUUCAAAAUUUUCCCUCUUUUAUAGAAAAAAACUAACUUACGCAAAUAGUAAAUGAGAGGACCUUAGCACUUUUCGUUAUGGAGUUCGCGAGCCUUCACUGCACCGUUCUGUAACUUGCCUUCUUCAAACUAAUAGCCCAGCUCCAUAACAGGCGAGCAUCCAACAAACUAGGCGGACAAUGGCAGCUGCAAGUCAGCCGGUUGGCUUCCAGCGAGUUUUGAAGCCGGUUGAAGGGGCCUCUGAGACAAGGAAGCCUUGCUUGAAAGAGAAUGAAAUGCAUAGGGGACCUAAUGGUGAUUGGAUUAUGGAUGAUUCAUCAUUAUAUUGAUAUGCAAAGCUCAAGUUCUAGCUGUGAGUUCAAUUUCCCCGGAGUUGUUUUUAUCUUUGUUAUAGCUGUGAUAUAUACUCAUGAUUUUGAAAUUUCAUUUUGAUUUUAAAAUUGCAAUUACCGGUUCAACCGUUCAAACCAUGAAUUUGUCCAGCCUCCUGACGCUUGUUGCCUAUGUGGUUCUUGUUGUUCUCAUUGUGUUGGUGGCGGUAUUGGUGUUGGCGCCCUACUUGCCUUUGUGAUGCUGGCAUCCGUGAUCCUUGAGAGGGUUGUGAUUCCUUGUAAUAAUAAUAAUAAUUAAAACUACUCCAAAUUAAGGUCAAUAUUCCAAAUUAUAUCUCGUAAAUGCAACUAUAUUUAUGCUAAAUGAGGUAAUUUUU